rnacentral:rRNA from 1 species
ACGAGUGGCGGACGGGUGAGUAAUGUCUGGGAAACUGCCUGAUGGAGGGGGAUAACUACUGGAAACGGUAGCUAAUACCGCAUAACGUCGCAAGACCAAAGAGGGGGACCUUCGGGCCUCUUGCCAUCAGAUGUGCCCAGAUGGGAUUAGCUAGUAGGUGGGGUAACGGCUCACCUAGGCGACGAUCCCUAGCUGGUCUGAGAGGAUGACCAGCCACACUGGAACUGAGACACGGUCCAGACUCCUACGGGAGGCAGCAGUGGGGAAUAUUGCACAAUGGGCGCAAGCCUGAUGCAGCCAUGCCGCGUGUAUGAAGAAGGCCUUCGGGUUGUAAAGUACUU